rnacentral:rRNA from 1 species
UGUACGAAUCUCGGCAACGGAUAUCUCGGCUCUCGCAUCGAUGAAAAACGUAGCGAAAUGCGAUACUUGGUGUGAAUUGCAAAAUCCCGUGAACCAUCGAGUCUUUGAACGCAAGUUGCGCCCGAGGCCUUUCGGUCGAGGGCACCCCUGCCUGGGCGUCACGCC